GGCUUGGGAGGACACGUUACCGCACUUAAACCCUUUAAAGUGUGCAGGUGUGUUUUAGGCUACAGACAUGAAGCAACACAAAUCUGGGAGCGUUUUGGGGCUUAGUCACUUGACGCUCUCUGGGCUGAAGAGCGCCGCGCGCUGAACGCAACCGCAGUCCUGCGCAGUGAGGUUGAUUGGAAACAGACAGCACGAUGAGACAAUUGAGAGGCCUCUAAUGAGUGGUUUUUCCGGCGAUCAGCAUAUCAGAGCGGAUAUGACAAGCUCCACCAAGAGAAAAUGCAGGUCCUAUGAGACGAAAGACGUCAUCUGAGCUACUGUACAGCUGUGCAGAUGAUGCAGAUCUCGGCCCGGUGAGACCAGCGCACUCAACACAACAGCUGGAAGAGGAUGCUAUAAACUGCCAUACAAAUCUCAAGCUGCACCGCUGUGUGCAAUUAUCAUCAGGGUCAUUGUCACACAUCCACUGCGGUUUUUUAAUUGAAAAAACUAUAAACGUCUCAAGCUGAUAAAUGCUGAAAGGAGGCACUCAACGGCCAUUCAGGGGGAUGAAGAGAGAGCAGGAGAGAGUCGACGGCGUCCAGUGAAUGUGAGCAGAGUCACCGUCUCAUAUUGGCCAAUCAGUCAACCUGUCUGACAGUUAUUACGUUAAGCGGCCAAUCGGAUUGCUCGGCUUCUUCGCCCGGAGGCUGAAUAAACAGGAAAUGAUGUGAUCUCUUGUGGAAGUAGGACGUGGCAUACUGACACAGCUGGUGAGAAGAGCAGACCUGGAACACACUGGAGAAAAUUAUUGUUUAUAUGUAAAACAGAAUGAAGCCAGUGAUGUUUUGUUUAACACCUCGACUGCCAGAGUUUAGUUUUUUUUGUAGCUUUAAGGAAAUCUAUCACAGCUUUUUGAUAAUUUACAUUUACUUUUUUUAAACGGAUCGAAUUUAUUGUAGAUCCCUUGCAAGAUAGUAAAUUUAGAUUUUUGUCCAAUCCAAUGUUAGCUAGCAUGGGAGAGUCCCGCCCUCUACACGAUCUAAAACUGACCGCAAGGAGGAAAUGAUUGAGAGCUGUGACAUGACUGAAGACUAUCAGGGUUCUGGUUUUUUUGGGAGUUCCUCAGAAUGCCAUAUCCACAUUUCUAAUUCUAGUGCAAAAAAAUGUCUGUAAGAUUCAUAAAAAAAUGAAAAAUCUGUAUUUUUACUGAGCAAUGAUGUAUUCGAUUGCUGAAAAAGUGAAGGUAAAAACCUUUACUCUUUUAAAAAAGUACCACAGUUCCCACAGAUGUGUUGUGCUGUAAUAGUAUUUUUGGCAUUGAUAAUAAAAUAAUAUAGUGCUGUCAAAUGGUUAAUAGAUUAAAUUAGGAUUUGUAAAUAACAUUUUUUGUUUAGAAGAUAUAUGUGUACUGUGUAUUUUUAUUAUGUGUAUAUAAAUAUACAAAAAAAAUUAUAUUUUAAAAAUGUAUACGUGUUUAUAUAAGAGUAUAAAUAUAUUCACGAUUUUUGUUGUUUUAAAAAAACCGCAACAACAAUAACAGUAAUAAUAAAAUGAAAUUUGCAAUUGAUUCAAAACCAGCUGACCAAUAUGAGA